AGAAAAAGGCUGGGGAUGUGGCUCAGUGGUAAAGUGCCUCUGGAUUCAAUCCUAAACCCUCCAAACAAAAAAUUACCUCUGUGAUUUAAAACCAUUUUCCCCGAGGAGAGGUUUAACUUAAUAACAUUCACUGUACUUCAGAAUGUUUAGAAAUAAUGAGCAUUUUAGAUACGCAUAGCCUUUAUGAUGUAGAGGAUGCAGAGAACUGACUGACAAACAGGUGGUCUACCCAGACAAGCCAGUAGAUAAAAGAUAGAUGGACAUAUUUUGGAGAGCUAGAAAUAAAUUCCUACAAGUCUGAAGAUCUGCUGUUGCCAGUAAGCAAAACCCUAAGUAUUCCAUGCCCAGUGUUUUUGUGGAGAGAAUAUUCCGAGUGAUGUCAUSACAUUGGGCUGACACCAGGAGUCCGUGUAAUGUGGACUUGAUAAGAGCAAGCUACAAGUCCAGGAGAAUUUCACAUCUGACUGUGUUCAGUUUUACCACUGCAAAAAAAAGAAUGGUGUGCUCCAGGUUGCAGGUGGUUCAGAGAGGUAUUACUGGAAAAGGAAGGCAGAAGAGGAAGACUUUACACAUCCAGGCAUCUGGUGCCCAGUGGUAGUCCCAGCUGCUUGGGAGACUGAGGACCAAUUAUCCUUCGUGAAGAGAAGCUCUGAAUAAUUACUUUUGGCUCAUGGGAUAAGGCAGACCUUUCAGUUUGAGCUGGGCCUGCACAGACAAACCCAAGGAAAGACUUUCGAGAGAGAAACAGCUGAAUUAGGAAAAGAUCCAGUACUGGGUGCGUGUUGA